rnacentral:snRNA from 1 species
AUCGCUUCUCGGCCUUUUGGCUAAGAUCAAGUGUAGUAUCUGUUCUUAUCAGUUCAAUAAUUGGGCCAUGACUUUGUACUUGGAGUUGUCUGUGCUCCACCUAUC